CCUACGGGAGGCAGCAGUGGGGAAUUUUGGACAAUGGGCGCAAGCCUGAUCCAGCCAUGCCGCGUGCGGGAAGAAGGCCUUCGGGUUGUAAACCGCUUUUGUCAGGGAAGAAAAGGUUCUGGUUAAUACCUGGGACUCAUGACGGUACCUGAAGAAUAAGCACCGGCUAACUACGUGCCAGCAGCCGCGGUAAUACGUAGGGUGCAAGCGUUAAUCGGAAUUACUGGGCGUAACGCGUGCGCAGGCGGUUAUGCAAGACAGAGGUGAAAUCCCCGGGCUCAACCUGGGAAUUGCCUUUGUGACUGCAUAGCUAGAGUACGGUAGAGGGGGAUGGAAUUCCGCGUGUAGCAGUGAAAUGCGUAGAUAUGCGGAGGAACACCGAUGGCGAAGGCAAUCCCCUGGACCUGUACUGACGCUCAUGCACGAAAGCGUGGGGAGCAAACAGGAUUAGAUACCCUGGUAGUCCACGCCCUAAACGAUGUCAACUGGUUGUUGGGAGGGUUUCUUCUCAGUAACGUAGCUAACGCGUGAAGUUGACCGCCUGGGGAGUACGGCCGCAGGUUGAAACUCAAAGUAGUAGUGGCGUGNGAGAGCGACGACGACGACGACGGAGGAGGAGG
rnacentral:rRNA from 1 species